rnacentral:rRNA from 1 species
GACAGAGGGUGCGAACGUUGCUCGGAAUUACUGGGCGUAAAGGGCACGUAGGCGGAUAUCUAAGUUGGGGGUGAAAUCCCGGGGCUCAACCUCGGAAUUGCCUUCAAAACUGGAUAUCUUGAGUUCGGGAGAGGUGAGUGGAACUCCGAGUGUAGAGGUGAAAUUCGUAGAUAUUCGGAAGAACACCAGUGGCGAAGGCGACUCACUGGCCCGAUACUGGCGCUGAGGCGCGAAAGCGUGGGGAGCAAACAGG